rnacentral:rRNA from 1 species
AUGAAGGUCUUCGGAUCGUAAAGUUCUGUUGUNAGGGAAGAACAAGUNCCGUUCGAACAGGNNGGNACCUUGACGGUACCUNACNAGNAAGCCCCGGCUAACUACGUGCCAGCAGCCGCGGUAAUACGUAGGGGGCAAGCGUUGUCCGGAAUUAUUGGGCGUAAAGNGCNCGCAGGCGGUUCCUUAAGUCUGAUGUGAAAGNCCACGGCUCAACCGUGGAGGGNCAUUGGAAACUGGGGAACUUGAGGACAGAAGAGGAGAGUGGAAUUCCACGUGUAGCGGUGAAAUGCGUAGAUAUGUGGAGGAACACCAGUGGCGAAGGCGACUCUCUGGUCUGUNNCUGACGCUGAGGUGCGAAAGCGUGGGUAGCAAACAGGAUUAGAUACCCUGGUAGUCCACGCCGUAAACGAUGAGUGCUAGGUGUUAGGGGGCUUCCNCCCCUUAGUGCUGAAGUUAACGCAUUAAGCACUCCGCCUGGGGAGUACGGCCGCAAGG